UACGUAGGGAGCAAGCGUUGUCCGGAAUCAUUGGGCGUAAAGCGCGCGUAGGCGGCCCGUAAGUCCGCUGUGAAAGUCAAAGGCUCAACCUUUGAAAGCCGGUGGAUACUGUGGGGCUAGAGUACGGAAGAGGCGAGUGGAAUUCCUGGUGUAGCGGUGGAAUGCGCAGAUAUCAGGAGGAACACCAAUAGCGAAGGCAGCUCGCUGGGACGUUACUGACGCUGAGGCGCGAAAGCGUGGGGAGCGAACAGG
rnacentral:rRNA from 1 species